UACGAAGGGUGCAAACGUUGCUCGGAAUUAUUGGGCGUAAAGCGCACGUAGGCGGCAUCGCAAGUCCCAUGUGAAAGCCCACGGCUUAACCGUGGAAGUGCAUGGGAAACUGCAGUGCUUGAGUACUUAAGAGGAUCGCGGAAUUCCCGGUGUAGAGGUGAAAUUCGUAGAUAUCGGGAGGAACACCAGUGGCGAAGGCGGCGAUCUGGGAAGAUACUGACGCUGAGGUGCGAAAGCGUGGGGAGCAAGCAGG
rnacentral:rRNA from 1 species